GGUGGUGGAAUUGGUAGACACAAGGGAUUUAAAUCCCUCGGCGUUCGCGCUGUGCCGGUUCAAGUCCGGCCCGGGGCACCA
rnacentral:tRNA from 1 species